rnacentral:rRNA from 1 species
CCUACUGGAGGCAGCAGUGGGGAAUAUUGGGCAAUGGGCGCAAGCCUGACCCAGCAACGCCGCGUGUAGGAAGAAGGCUUUCGGGUUGUAAACUUCUUUCAAGAGGGAAGAGCAGAAGACGGUACCUCUUGAAUAAGCCCCGGCUAACUACGUGCCAGCAGCCGCGGUAAUACGUAGGGAGCGAGCGUUGUCCGGAUUUACUGGGUGUAAAGGGCGUGCAGCCGGGAGUACAAGUCAGAUGUGAAAUCCCGCGGCUCAACCGCGGAACUGCAUUUGAAACUGUAUUUCUUGAGUACUGGAGAGGCAGACGGAAUUCCUAGUGUAGCGGUGAAAUGCGUAGAUAUUAGGAGGAACACCGGCGGCGAAGGCGGCCUGCUGGACCGCGACUGACGUUGAGGCUCGAAAGCGUGGGGAGCGAACAGGAUUAGAUACCCCUGUAGUC